GACGAACGCUGGCGGCGUGCCUAAUACAUGCCAGUAGAACGCACAGUUUAUACCGUAGCUUGCUACACCAUAGACUGUGAGUUGCGAACGGGUGAGUAACGCGUAGGUAACCUGCCUGGUAGCGGGGGAUAACUAUUGGAAACGAUAGCUAAUACCGCAUAAUAUUGAUUAUUGCAUGAUAAUUGAUUGAAAGAUGCUAUUGCAUCACUACCAGAUGGACCUGCGUUGUAUUAGCUAGUAGGUGAGGUAACGGCUCACCUAGGCGACGAUACAUAGCCGACCUGAGAGGGUGCUCGGCCACACUGGGACUGAGACGCGGCCCAGACUCCUACGGGAGGCAGCAGUAGGGAAUCUUCGGCAAUGGACGAAAGUCUGACCGAGCAACGCCGCGUGAGUGAAGAAGGUUUUCGGAUCGUAAAGCUCUGUUGUAAGAGAAGAACGGGUGUGAGAGUGGAAAGUUCACACUGUGACGGUAUCUUACCAGAAAGGGACGGCUAACUACGUG
rnacentral:rRNA from 1 species